rnacentral:rRNA from 1 species
CCCUUAGAUGUCCUGGGCCGCACGCGCGCUACACUGAGUGUCUGAGAUAUGAGGCAUGCCUGGUCCGGCAAGGUCUAGGUAAUCACGAAAAGGCACAUCAUGCUUGGGAUUGAUUAUUGCAAAUUUUAAUCAUGAACGAGGAAUUCCUAGUAAGUGCAAGUCAACAGCUUGCGUUGAUUACGUCCCUGCCCUUUGUACACACCGCCCGUCGCUCCUACCGAUUGAGUGCUCAGGUGAAUAAUUCGGACUGCAGCAAUGUUUGGAUCCCGAACGUUGCAGCGGAAAGUUUAGUGAACCUUAUCACUUAGAGGAAGGAGAAGUCGUAACA